GAUGAAGAACGCAGCGAAAUGCGAUAAGUGGUGUGAAUUGCAGAAUUCAGUGAAUCAUCGAAUCUUUGAACGCACAUUGCGCCCCUUGGUAUUCCAUGGGGCAUGCCUGUUCGAGCGUCAUUUGUACCUUCAAGCUCUGCUUGGUGUUGGGUGUUUGUCUCGCCUCUGCGUGUAGACUCGCCUCAAAACAAUUGGCAGCCGGCGUAUUGAUUUCGGAGCGCAGUACAUCUCGCGCUUUGCACUCAUAACGACGACGUCCAAAAGUACAUUUUUACACUCUUGACCUCGGAUCAGGUAGGGAUACCCGCUGAACUUAAGCAUAUCAAUAAGCGGAGA
rnacentral:misc_RNA from 1 species